GUAUCCCAAAAGACCCCAAUGACAACCAAUUACACUAUCCAAUUCAUAAGAGGAAAACUAGCACUGGAUCACACAACGAAUCUCUCUCUUGUACAUUUGUCGACCAUACUUCAAAUGAAGAAUCGGUAUGAGAGGAUGAUAAUUGUUUAUUUAAACUCGUACGAGCAUAUGACAUAUUCAAGUCGUCACACUGCCGGUGGGGGUUCAGGUGGAAACAGACCUGGACAGCAACUUGUAAAUAGACCACAGCAGCACAGAAACCAGAUCCUGGAUAUUUCAGAAUUUGAAAAAAAAAAAAAAACAGUAAAAUUACCCAAAAGAAUCGGAAGACCUGAUAUUUAUUUUGAAUGUUAUAUAGGCAAGGAAAAAGAAAUGUUCAUUACCAUGACAAUAGUCGUCUAGAAGGUCCAGGAGGCAUGCCUGCUGCUGGUGGUGGUGCUUCUCGUGGUGGAGGUGGAUCCAUCUUUCUUUGUAGUGAUCGGAGGGGAAUUAAAGUAGUUCUGGAGUAGAUGGGUGUUCGAGAGGUUUUGAACUAACAGGUGAGAAUUUUUGUUUUACGAUACUACGUGGGAGCAUGGAUAGAGUAAUUUGGUACAACUCCCGUUCUUAACACUUGCAUCCAUCUACCAUUCAAACGCUGUUGUAUCACGUCAAACUCACCUGUAGCUGUUGUAUCACGUCAAACUCACCUGUAUUUCUCUUGAAG
rnacentral:lncRNA from 1 species